rnacentral:rRNA from 1 species
GAUGAACGCUGGCGGCGUGCCUAAUACAUGCAAGUCGAGCGAACGGACGAGAAGCUUGCUUUUCUGAUGUUAGCGGCGGACGGGUGAGUAACACGUGGAUAACCUACCUAUAAGACUGGGAUAACUUCGGGAAACCGGAGCUUAUACCGGAUAAUAUUUUGAACCGCAUGGUUCAAAAGUGAUAGACGGUCUUUCUGUCACUUAUAGAUGGAUCCGCGCUGCAUUAGCUAGUUGGUAAGGUAACGGCUUACCAAGGCAACGAUGCAUAGCCGACCUGAGAGGGUGAUAGGCCACACUGGAACUGAGACACGGUCCAGACUCCUACGGGAGGCAGCAGUAGGGAAUCUUCCGCAAUGGGCGAAAGCCUGACGGAGCAACGCCGCGUGAGUGAUGAAGGUCUUCGGAUCGUAAAACUCUGUUAUUAGGGAAGAACAUAUGUGUAAGUAACUGUGCACGUCUUGACGGUACCUAAUCAGAAAGCCACGGCUAACUACGUG